UUCUUACAAUUUAACAAGCUUUUCUGUGGAAGUCGGGUUUAAUUCCCGCACUGUGCCGCAACGGUAAUCCCCUUUUGGGGUAGUCCGAUCUUCAGCUAAGCUUUUAAUCCCGAGCAGGAAAUCUUGUUGAUUUUU
rnacentral:sRNA from 2 species